UCUAGAGAUUACUCCUACGGGAGGCAGCAGUGGGGAAUAUUGCACAAUGGGGGAAACCCUGAUGCAGCCAUGCCGCGUGUGUGAAGAAGGCCUUCGGGUUGUAAAGCACUUUCAGCGAGGAGGAAAGGUUGGUAGCUAAUAACUGCCAACUGUGACGUUACUCGCAGAAGAAGCACCGGCUAACUCCGUGCCAGCAGCCGCGGUAAUAAUCGUCGAC
rnacentral:rRNA from 1 species